AUAACCAAACCGCAAUAAAAUAUGUCAUUCAGUCUCCUCUAUGGAGUUUUUGUGUUUAGUAUUUAGUCUGACUAUAGAAACUUGACAGUACUCCAUAAGUCUAUAUGAGCUCCUUGUGCAACCAUAAAAUAUACACAGGCAGCACAUGGACUCCUAUCACGGUCAGGCAUAUUGGGUAUUGCUUGCACAGCCAGCCUGCUUUCUCUACUCUGCUUCAGUAACUAACUGUGCAUAGAUAGGUGUAAAUUGUUCUAGCCUAUGAGGAUCGGGGUUUGGAAGCAAAAGUUAGAGUGUAAUCUGAAACCAGCACCUCACUGUAACUGUGAUAGGCUGAAAGUGGCUAGCUGACAUUCUCACGGCUUCCCACUACCGCUCGGUCUAAUGCCUUCUCAUUAGGCCGAGCAGCACAGAUAGGUUGGACUGCAGGGGACUCUCGUUUAAAGUUAAUCAAUAAAAAUGGUGACAGGGAACUCCAAGGACUAUAACCAGUUCAAUAAGAUGAAGCAGUUACAAUGCCUAAAGUGACAUUUAAAGUGGGCCUUCUUUAAGUGUCUAGCUAUAGCCCCAUUUAAAUGUUGCUCCCUAGCCCCACUUAGUCUCAUAAGUGUCCCUUUUGGCUCUCUUCCCCCCCCCCCCCACUCACAAUGUGUGUCCACCUAGCCCCCUUAAAUAUCUUCCCCUAUCCCUUGCCCCUUGAAGAGUCUUUUCCUAACACCCUGAAAUAUUUACUUCAAGCACAAUGUCGGACUCUGGAGCCUGCUUUUAGGCAGACAACUAGGUUGCAUAAAGGGUUUCUGGCCAUGACUGGCUCGGUUUAUUCUCAGUAGCGGGCUACCUGCAAGGUUCAUG